GCUCUCUUAGUAUAACAAUUACAGCUGACUUCCAAUUAGCAAAUUCUAACUAAAACAUUAGAAGGGAGCA
rnacentral:tRNA from 1 species